AGCAGCCGCGGUAAUUCCAGCUCCAAUAGCGUAUAUUAAAGUUGUUGCAGUUAAAAAGCUCGUAGUUGAACUUCGGGGUCUACCCAUUGGUCAGGCUUAAUUGUCUGCACUGGUGAGAUGGAUCUCUACCUUCUGAGGAACUUUCAUGCCAUUUAUUUGGUGUGAUGGGAAAUCAGGACUGUUACUUUGAAAAAAUUAGAGUGUUUAAAGCAGACUAUCGUCUGAAUACAUUAGCAUGGAAUAAUGAAAUAGGACGGACUGAUUCUAUUUCGUUGGUUUCUAGGAUCACCGUAAUGAUUAAUAGGGAUAGUUGGGGGCAUUAGUAUUCAAUUGUCAGAGGUGAAAUUCUUGGAUUUAUGAAGACUUAACUACUGCGAAAGCAUUUGCCAAGGAUGUUUUCAUUAAUCAAGAACGAAGUUAGGGGAUCGAAGACGAUCAGAUACCGUGUAGUCUUAACCAUAAACUAUGCCGACUA
rnacentral:rRNA from 1 species